rnacentral:rRNA from 1 species
ACGAACGCUGGCGGCGUGCUUAACACAUGCAAGUCGAACGGAAAGGCCCUGCUUGCAGGGUACUCGAGUGGCGAACGGGUGAGUAACACGUGGGUGAUCUGCCCUGCACUUCGGGAUAAGCCUGGGAAACUGGGUCUAAUACCGGAUAGGAGCCAUUUUUAGUGUGAUGGUUGGAAAGUUUUUUCGGUGUAGGAUGAGCUCGCGGCCUAUCAGCUUGUUGGUGGGGUAAUGGCCUACCAAGGCGGCGACGGGUAGCCGGCCUGAGAGGGUGGACGGCCACAUUGGGACUGAGAUACGGCCCAGACUCCUACGGGAGGCAGCAGUGGGGAAUAUUGCACAAUGGGCGCAAGCCUGAUGCAGCGACGCCGCGUGGGGGAUGACGGCCUUCGGGUUGUAAACUCCUUUCGCUAGGGACGAAGCUUUUCGUGACGGUACCUAGAUAAGAAGCACCGGCUAACUACGUG